AAUAGAUACCCGGGUAGUCCACGCCGUAAACGAUGAGUGUUAAGUGUUAGAGGGUUUCCGCCCUUUAGUGCUGCAGCUAACGCAUUAAGCACUCCGCCUGGGGAGUACGGCCGCAAGGCUGAAACUCAAAGGAAUUGACGGGGGCCCGCACAAGCGGUGGAGCAUGUGGUUUAAUUCGAAGCAACGCGAAGAACCUUACCAGGUCUUGACAUCCUCUGCCAACCCUAGAGAUAGGGCGUUCCCCUUCGGGGGACAGAGUGACAGGUGGUGCAUGGUUGUCGUCAGCUCGUGUCGUGAGAUGUUGGGUUAAGUCCCGCAACGAGCGCAACCCUUGAUCUUAGUUGCCAGCAUUCAGUUGGGCACUCUAAGGUGACUGCCGGUGACAAACCGGAGGAAGGUGGGGAUGACGUCAAAUCAUCAUGCCCCUUAUGACCUGGGCUACACACGUGCUACAAUGGAUGGUACAAAGAGCUGCGAACCCGCGAGGGUAAGCGAAUCUCAUAAAGCCAUUCUCAGUUCGGA
rnacentral:rRNA from 1 species